rnacentral:rRNA from 1 species
CGGGAGCAAUCCUGGUGGCGAGUGGCGAACGGGUGAGUAAUAUAUCGGAACGUGCCCAGUCGUGGGGGAUAACGUAGCGAAAGCUACGCUAAUACCGCAUACGAUCUAUGGAUGAAAGCGGGGGAUCGCAAGACCUCGCGCGAUUGGAGCGGCCGAUAUCAGAUUAGGUAGUUGGUGAGGUAAAGGCUCACCAAGCCGACGAUCUGUAGCUGGUCUGAGAGGACGACCAGCCACACUGGGACUGAGACACGGCCCAGACUCCUACGGGAGGCAGCAGUGGGGAAUUUUGGACAAUGGGCGCAAGCCUGAUCCAGCAAUGCCGCGUGCAGGAUGAAGGCCUUCGGGUUGUAAACUGCUUUUGUACGGAGCGAAAAGGCUUCCACUAAUACUGGGGGCUCAUGACGGU